UAGAAGAGUUGGAUAUUCUCUAGAACUCCAAAUGACCUAAAUUUACGAAGAAUUGUUUGGAACAUAUAAAAAUUAUUGGCAAAAGAAAUACCAGAAGGGGACCCACCAGUAGGCCACAAGCUCAGGGGCGCUCGCGCCCUACCCCCAGGGUGUGCCCCUGAGCCCGUGGGCCCCCGACAGGCCUCUGAUGUCCAUCUUGUACUGUAUUAGGCCAUUUGCCCUAUAAAAAAAAUCAAAGGAUUACUUUCGNGCGGGACCGUCUCAAGGUGGAGCUAGGGCGGGAACAUUUUUGCCCUCAGGCGGAGCGAUUUCGCCGGGAAACAUCCCUCCGAGAAAAGGAAAUCAAGGACAUCUUCAUCAUCAACGCUUCCUCCAUUGUGGGAGGACCAAUCUUCAUCACCAUCUUCACCAGCACCAUCUCAUCUCAAGCUCUUGUUCAUGUCUUGUAUUUAAUCUUUGUCUCCAAAUGUCAGAUUGUUACCUGUGGGUCGCUAGUAGUGUUGAUUACGUCUCGUAGUUGAUGCUAGUUGGUUUAAUUGGUGAAAGAUUAUAUCUUCAGAUCUUGAAGCAUAUUCAUUACACCACUGUUCUUUUAACAUGGUGAUGAUUUGUGAGUAGUUACUUUAAUUCUUGAGGAAAUGCGAGAAAUCUUGUUAUAAAUAAUCAUCUAAAGUUGG
rnacentral:lncRNA from 1 species